rnacentral:rRNA from 1 species
GUGGGGAAUAUUGGACAAUGGGGGGAACCCUGAUCUAGCCAUGCCGCGUGAGUGAUGAAGGCCUUAGGGUAGUAAAGCUCUUUCGCUGGGGAAGAUAAUGACGGUACCCAGUAAAGAAACCCCGGCUAACUCCGUGCCAGCAGCCGCGGUAAUACGGAGGGGGUUAGCGUUGUUCGGAAUUACUGGGCGUAAAGCGCGCGUAGGCGGAUUGGAAAGUUGGGGGUGAAAUCCCGGGGCUCAACCCUGGAAUGGCCUUCAAAACUCCCAGUCUUGAGGUCGAGAGAGGUGAGUGGAAUUCCGAGUGUAGAGGUGAAAUUCGUAGAUAUUCGGAGGAACACCAGUGGCGAAGGCGGCUCACUGGCUCGAUACUGACGCUGAGGUGCGAAAGCGUGGGGAGCAAACAGGAUUAGAUACCCUUGUAGUCC